rnacentral:tRNA from 1 species
AGAGAUAACUUUAAUAUUGAGCUUCUAACUCAACUAAUAAUAGUAAAAAACUAUUUUAUCUUUA